rnacentral:rRNA from 1 species
AUUCCGGUUGAUCCUGCCGGAGGUCAUUGCUAUUGGAGUCCGAUUUAGCCAUGCUAGUUGUACGAGUUUGGACUCGUAGCAGAUAGCUCAGUAACACGUGGUCAAACUACCCUAUGGAUCCGGAUACCCUCGGGAAACUGAGACUAAUCCGGAAUACGAUUCUCAGGCUGGAACUGCAGAGAAUCAGAAACGCUCCGGCGCCAUAGGAUGUGGCUGCGGCCGAUUAGGUAGACGGUGGGGUAACGGCCCACCGUGCCAAUAAUCGGUACGGGUUGUGAGAGCAAGAGCCUGGAGACGGUAUCUGAGACAAGAUACCGGGCCCUACGGGGCGCAGCAGGCGCGAAACCUUUACACUGCACGCCAGUGCGAUAAGGGGACUCCGAGUGCGAGGGCAUAUAGUCCUCGCUUUUUGUAACCGUAGGAAGGUUACAGAAUAAGUGCUGGGCAAGACCGGUGCCAGCCGCCGCGGUAAUACCGGCAGCACGAGUGAUGACCGCUAUUAUUGGGCCUAAAGCGUCCGUAGCUGGCCGCGCAAGUCUAUCGGGAAAUCCGCACGCCUAACGUGCGGGCGUCCGGUGGAAACUGCGCGGCUUGGGACCGGAAGACCAGAGGGGUACGUCUGGGGUAGGAGUGAAAUCCCGUAAUCCUGGACGGACCGCCGGUGGCGAAAGCGCCUCUGGAAGACGGAUCCGACGGUGAGGGACGAAAGCUCGGGUCACGAACCGGAUUAGAUACCCGGGUAGUCCGAGCUGUAAACGAUGUCUGCUAGGUGUGUGUGUGUCACAAACUACGAGUUUGUGAUGUGCCGUAGGGAAGCCGUGAAGCAGACCGCCUGGGAAGUACGUCCGCAAGGAUGAAACUUAAAGGAAUUGGCGGGGGAGCACUACAACCGGAGGAGCCUGCGGUUUAAUUGGACUCAACGCCGGACAUCUCACCAGCAUCGACAAUGUGCAGUGACGGUCAGUGUGAUGAGCUUACCUGAGCCAUGAGAGGAGGUGCAUGGCCGCCGUCAGCUCGUACCGUGAGGCGUCCUGUUAAGUCAGGCAACGAGCGAGACCCGCAUGCCUAAUUGCCAGCAGUACCCUUGUGGUAGCUGGGUACAUUAGGGAGACUGCCAGUGCCAAACUGGAGGAAGGAACGGGCAACGGUAGGUCAGUAUGCCCCGAAUGUGCUGGGCGACACGCGGGCUACAAUGGCCAAGACAGUGGGAUGCAACCCCGAAAGGGGACGCUAAUCUCCGAAACUUGGUCGUAGUUCGGAUUGAGGGCUGAAACUCGCCCUCAUGAAGCUGGAUUCGGUAGUAAUCGCGCCUCAGAAGGGCGCGGUGAAUACGUCCCUGCUCCUUGCACACACCGCCCGUCAAAGCACCCGAGUGAGGUCCGGAUGAGGCCCGGUUCCCGGGUCGAAUCUGGGCUUCGCAAGGGGGCUUAAGUCGUAACAAGGUAGCCGUAGGGGAAUCUGCGGCUGGAUCACCUCCA